rnacentral:rRNA from 1 species
GACGAACGUUGGCGGCGUGCUUAACACAUGCAAGUCGAACGGAAAGGCCCUGCUUUUGUGGGGUGCUCGAGUGGCGAACGGGUGAGUAACACGUGAGUAACCUGCCCUUGACUUUGGGAUAACUUCAGGAAACUGGGGCUAAUACCGGAUAGGAGCUCCUGCUGCAUGGUGGGGGUUGGAAAGUUUCGGCGGUUGGGGAUGGACUCGCGGCUUAUCAGCUUGUUGGUGGGGUAGUGGCUUACCAAGGCUUUGACGGGUAGCCGGCCUGAGAGGGUGACCGGCCACAUUGGGACUGAGAUACGGCCCAGACUCCUACGGGAGGCGGCAGUGGGGAAUAUUGCACAAUGGGCGGAAGCCUGAUGCAGCAACGCCGCGUGCGGGAUGACGGCCUUCGGGUUGUAAACCGCUUUCGCCUGUGACGAAGCGUGAGUGACGGUAAUGGGUAAAGAAGCACCGGCUAACUACGUGCCAGCAGCCGCGGUGAUACGUAGGGUGCGAGCGUUGUCCGGAUUUAUUGGGCGUAAAGGGCUCGUAGGUGGUUGAUCGCGUCGGAAGUGUAAUCUUGGGGCUUAACCCUGAGCGUGCUUUCGAUACGGGUUGACUUGAGGAAGGUAGGGGAGAAUGGAAUUCCUGGUGGAGCGGUGGAAUGCGCAGAUAUCAGGAGGAACACCAGUGGCGAAGGCGGUUCUCUGGGCCUUUCCUGACGCUGAGGAGCGAAAGCGUGGGGAGCGAACAGGCUUAGAUACCCUGGUAGUCCACGCUGUAAACGGUGGGUACUAGGUGUGGGGUCCAUUCCACGGGUUCCGUGCCGUAGCUAACGCUUUAAGUACCCCGCCUGGGGAGUACGGCCGCAAGGCUAAAACUCAAAGGAAUUGACGGGGCCCCGCACAAGCGGCGGAGCAUGCGGAUUAAUUCGAUGCAACGCGUAGAACCUUACCUGGGUUUGACAUGGAUCGGGAGUGCUCAGAGAUGGGUGUGCCUCUUUUGGGGUCGGUUCACAGGUGGUGCAUGCCUGUCGUCAGCUCGUGUCGUGAGAUGUUGGGUUAAGUCCCGCAACGAGCGCAACCCUUGUUCACUGUUGCCAGCACGUUAUGGUGGGGACUCAGUGGAGACCGCCGGGGUCAACUCGGAGGAAGGUGGGGAUGACGUCAAGUCAUCAUGCCCCUUAUGUCCAGGGCUUCACGCAUGCUACAAUGGCUGGUACAGAGAGUGGCGAGCCUGUGAGGGUGAGCGAAUCUCGGAAAGCCGGUCUCAGUUCGGAUUGGGGUCUGCAACUCGACCUCAUGAAGUCGGAGUUGCUAGUAAUCGCAGAUCAGCAACGCUGCGGUGAAUACGUUCCCGGGGCU